GACGAACGCUGGCGGCGUGCCUAAUACAUGCAAGUAGAACGCUGAAGGAGGAGCUUGCUUCUCUGGAUGAGUUGCGAACGGGUGAGUAACGCGUAGGUAACCUGCCUGGUAGCGGGGGAUAACUAUUGGAAACGAUAGCUAAUACCGCAUAAUAGCAGUUGUUGCAUGACAACUGUUUGAAAGGUGCAAUUGCACCACUACCAGAUGGACCUGCGUUGUAUUAGCUAGUUGGUGGGGUAACGGCUCACCAAGGCGACGAUACAUAGCCGGCCUGAGAGGGUGAUCGGCCACACUGGGACUGAGACACGGCCCAGACUCCUACGGGAGGGCGCAGUAGGGAAUCUUCGGCAAUGGACGGAAGUCUGACCGAGCAACGCCGCGUGAGUGAAGAAGGUUUUCGGAUCGUAAAGCUCUGUUGUAAGAGAAGAACGAGUGUGAGAGUGGAAAGUUCACACUGUGACGGUAUCUUACCAGAAAGGGACGGCUAACUACGUG
rnacentral:rRNA from 1 species